AUUGGAGGGCAAGUCUGGUGCCAGCAGCCGCGGUAAUUCCAGCUCCAAGAGCGUAUAUAAAUGUUGUUGCGGUUAAAAAGCCCGUAGUUGGAUUUGAGGAUGCUUCUUGUAUUCGACAUGUUGAAGGGGUUUCCUGGAUAUGUGUCGAGUACGCUUCGGAGGUAUCCUGACAUAUGCGGGAUUGUCCACUGGCCGAAGCUUCCUUAACUGGUAGCUGAAGCAACUUCGGAGCUUCCACACUCCAUAAGGUGCGCCCGCAGACGUCACUGUGAGUAAAACAGAGUGUUCAAGGCAGCCAACUUGUUUGGUUGAAUGUUAAAGCAUGGAAUGACAAGGGAUCGACCACUGAAGCCGCUUUUUGUCUAUUACUUUAAGCCUCAGUGAGGAAACAUUGAGGGGGUGUCCUGGUGUCCUUCAUUAAUCAAGGACGAGAGAUAGGGGAUCGAAGAGGAUUAGACACCCUCGUAGUCCUUUCUGUAAAUUCUGCAGACUUGGGAUCGGUCAGCGUUCUACUUUUUGACCUGAUCGGCACCUUCCUCCGACAUCGAGAAAUCAAAGUCUUUGUGUUCCGGGGGGAGUACAUUCGCAAGGCUGAAACUUAAAGGAAUUGACGGAGAACCACCACCAGUCGUGGAGUGUGUGGCUUAAUUCGACCCAACACGGGAAAUUUUACCAGGCCAGGACGUGGCGAGGAUUGCCAGAUUGAAAGCUCUUGCAUGAUUCCGCGGAGGGUAGUGCAUGGCCGCUUCUGGUUGGUGAAGUGAUUUGUCUGCUUAAUUGCGAUAACGAACGAGAUCUCUGCCAAUUACUAGACAGCGCGUUCACUUUUCAGUCGGAAGCUUGGGUGUGGGUUCGCCCAUCCUCCAGCUCUCCGGUUGAGAACGAGCUGCUUUACUUAUUGGGAUUAUGCAUUUUUCAACUGCAUUGAAACGAGAGCCCAAAGCAGGUCUGUGAUGCUCCUAAAUGUUCUGGGCUGCACGCGCACUACACUGAUUCAGCCAACGAGCAUCUGCCUUCAUGGCAGCCUGGGCCGAACGGUCUGGGGAAUCUUUUGAGCCUGAGUCGUGAUGGGGAUUGAUGAUUGCAAUUAUUCUCCAUGAACAAGGAAUGUCUUGUAGGCGCGUUUCAUCAGAACGCACCGAAUACGUCCCUGGUUCUUGUACACACCGCCCGUCGUUGCCUGUGAUGGGUAGUGAGUAAAGCCAUUUGGAGGAUUUGUCUUCGAGCAAUCGUGGACGAUCCAAAAUUUGUCGAUACUCUCUAUCUAGAAGAGGCAAAAGUCGUAACAAGGUUGCUGUAGG
rnacentral:rRNA from 1 species